ACGAAACCAGGUGAUCUAGCCAUGAGCAGGUUGAAGUUAGGGUAAAACCUAAUGGAGGACCGAACCAGUAUUCGUUGAAAAGACUUUGGAUGACUUGUGGCUAGCGGUGAAAUUCCAAUCGAACCUGGAGAUAGCUAGUUCUCCCCGAUAUAUCUUUAAGGAUAGCGUUGUGUGAAUUGUUGUGGAGGUAGAGCACUGAAUCUAUGAUGGCUGCACCUAGCGGUACUGAUUAGAAUUAAACUCCGAAUGCCAUAAUUUAUGCACAGCAGUCAGAACAUGGGUGAUAAGGUUCAUGCUCGUGAGGGAAACAGCCCAGAUCGUCAGCUAAGGUCCCUAAGUGUAAACUAAGUGUGUAAGGAUGUGGAACUGCACAGACAGCUAGGAUGUUGGCUUAGAAGCAGCCAUCAUUUAAAGAGUGCGUAACAGCUCACUAGUCGAGUGAUUCUGCGCCGAAAAUGUACCGGGGCUUAAGUUUACCACCGAAGCUACGGAUUGUAUGUAAAU
rnacentral:rRNA from 1 species